GAUAGGGUGCCUGAUUAAAGGGUUACGUUGAUACUGUAAAUAUGCAUAGAUGCUCCUGUCU
rnacentral:tRNA from 1 species